rnacentral:rRNA from 1 species
GUUUGAUCCUGGCUCAGGAUGAACGCUGGCGGCGUGCCUAACACAUGCAAGUCGAACGAGAACUCGAUCUUCGGAACGAGGGAAAGUGGCGAACGGGUGAGUAACACGUUGGUGACCUGCCCCGAAGAGGGGGAUAACUCUGGGAAACCAGAGCUAAUACCCCGGAUGUUUAAGGGUUUAGACGCCUUAGACUAAAGCUUCGGCGCUUCGGGAGGGGCCUGCGGGCUAUCAGCUAGUUGGUGGGGUAAAAGCCUACCAAGGCGAAGACGGCUAGGGGGCGUGAGAGCGUGACCCCCCACAAGGGAACUGAGAAACGGUCCCUACUCCUACGGGAGGCAGCAGUGAGGAAUAUUGAGCAACGGGCGCAAGCCUGACUCAGCAACGCCGCGUGGAUGAAGAAGGCCUUCGGGUUGUAAAAUCCUUUUCUGGGGGAAGAUAAUGACGGUACCCCAGGAAUAAGUUCCGGCUAACUACGUGCCAGCAGCCGCGGUAAAACGUAGGGGACGAGCGUUAUCCGGAUUUACUGGGCGUAAAGCGCAUGUAGGUGGCUUGAAAAGUUGGACGUGAAAGCUCCCGGCUUAACUGGGAGAGGUCGUUCAAAACUGGCAAGCUUGAGGUUGGAAGAGGAGAGCGGAAUUCCCGGUGUAGUGGUGGAAUGCGUAGAUAUCGGGAGGAACACCAGUGGCGAAAGCGGCUCUCUGGUUCAAUACUGACACUGAGAUGCGAAAGCGUGGGGAGCGAACGGGAUUAGAUACCCCGGUAGUCCACGCUGUAAACGAUGGAUACUAGGUGUAGGCGGUCAUUAACCCCGUCUGUGCCGAAGCCAACGCGUUAAGUAUCCCGCCUGGGGACUACGGCCGCAAGGUUAAAACUUAAAGGA